AUGGAGAACUUACAUCUGGAACCAAAGGAUCUGAAGUAUUCAUUAUUAGAAGAAGUUACGAAUGGAUUCUCCGAGGAGCACAAGGUUGGCACUGGUGGGUUCGGAGAAGUAUACAAGGGGGUGUUGGAUAACAGGCAAGAGAUCGCUGUGAAGAAGCUCCAUUACAUGCCAGGACUUAAUGAUGAGCAAUUCAAGCAUGAAUUUAAUAACCUCAUGAGGGUCCAACAUCAGAAUAUCAUCCGAUUAGUUGGCUACUGCUAUGAGAUACGCCAUAUACAUCAUGAACUCAAAGGAGAAUAUGUUUUUGCUAGAGUAGAAGAAAGAGCUCUCUGCUUCGAAUACUUGCGGGGUGGUAGCCUUGAUAGGCAUCUUUCUGAUGAAUUUUCUGGACUUGAUUGGCACACACGUUACAAAAUAAUUAAGGGAAUCUGUGAAGGAUUAAAUUACCUUCACAAGGGAUCGAAUGACCCUAUGUACCAUCUUGACUUGAAGCCUGCGAACAUAUUGUUAGAUGAGGAAAUGAUGCCAAAAAUAGGAGAUUUUGGUUUGUCAAGACUCUUUGCUUCAACAAAAACCUUUACCACAAAAAUACUUGCUGGAACACUGGCCUACAUGCCACCAGAGUACAUACAAAAGCGCCAAAUCUCCGAAAAGUAUGACAUAUUCAGCUUAGGUGUGAUAAUCAUAGAGAUAAUUGCGGGACCUCUGGGCCGUUUCAAAUAUGCAGAUAUGUCGUCUUCUGAAGAAUUUAUUCAGCAUGUAAACAAGAAUUGGAGGAAAAGGAUUGCUGAAGUAGAUUGUCGACAAGUCAAGAGAUGCAUCAAAAUAGCAGUAAAUUGUGUGGAUGCUGAUAAAGGCAAUAGGCCUACUAUAGAGGAUGUUAUCCAUGAACUGAAAGAAGGAGAAGAGCAGGACAAGUCCCAGGAGCCAGUAGUUACUAGGCUUGGGCCUUGGGGUGGAAAUGGAGGAAUGGCUUAUGACAUCACAGUAACACCCCACCGUCUGAAAAGUGUGACAAUUUACAGUGGCAUUAUAGUUGAUCAACUUAAGUUCUCAUAUACUGAUCAUAGUGGACAUCAGCGCAAUGUUGGUCAGUGGGGUGGUUCAAUGAGCGGUGAUGGGUAUACGAUUAAGCUUCAGCCAUCGGAGUUUCUGACGGAAAUGGCUGGAACAAUCGGCACAUUUUUCAGAACUCACUCCAACAAUGUUAUAACAUCGCUGGCACUGGUCACCAAUCAGGAUAGAUAUGGACCUUUCGGGCGCGGAGGAGGAAGUCGAUUCCGCGUCCCAAUGGAAAGAAAUUCCAACAUUGUUGGCUUCUUUGCGCGCGCAGGGAGCCAUCUCGAUGCAAUUGGCGUGUAUGUGAGUCGCAUCAGUCACACCACCGAUCAUGAUGGAGAGGAGGUGGUCUCUUGUCCAGGAGAAGAGCAGGAGGAGUCUCAGGAGCCCGUGGCUACUAAGCUUGGGCCUUGGGGAGGAAAUGGAGGAACGGCUUACGACAUCACAGUCGCACCCCACCGUCUGGAAAGCGUGACAGUUUACAGUGGCGUUAUAGUUGAUGUACUUGAGUUUUCAUAUACUGAUCAUAGUGGGCAUGAGCACAAUGUUGGUCCGUGGGGUGGCCCAUGGGAGGGCAAUGCUGGGCAUAAGAUUAAGCUUCGGCCGUCGGAAUUUGUGACAGAAAUUUCUGGAACAGUCGGCAGAUUCGGCAGAUCGUAUUCCAACGUUAUAACAUCGCUGACGAUGGUCACCAAUGAGGGUACAUAUGGACCUUUCGGGGAAGGGCGAGGAAGUCCGUUCCGCAACCGAGUGGAACGCAAUUCCAAAAUGGUUGGCUUCUUCGCGCGCGCGGGGAGAUAUCUUCAUGCAAUUGGCGUAUAUGUGAAACCCGUCCAUCACACCCCUGAUCAUGGUGGAGAGGAAGCGAUCUCUUGA
rnacentral:rRNA from 1 species